rnacentral:snRNA from 1 species
AAAACUCCUGAAAGUGAAGACGA